GCCCCUUUGGUGUAAACGGCUAAGCACGCCGGACUUUCGAUCCGGUAAACCCGGUUCAAAUCCGGGAGGGGGUA
rnacentral:tRNA from 2 species